rnacentral:lncRNA from 1 species
UUCUCAGUUUAAGAAAAAAAUUCUCAUUCUAAGAAAAUAACUUGUAUAUUUACUGAAAUUAUAGUAGUUCUGAUAGCACAGCAAUGUGUUGUAGUGAAUUGAGUUUCUCCCAGGGUUUUUUCCAGGAUUUUCUCUUGGGUCCGUUUUUGCAGAGAAGAUUGAGUUUAGCUGAACAGUUGGGGUGGCUGCAUCCCCCCUUCCCCCCCCCCCACCGGUGGGCUGACACCCGUACUCAAUAAAUGUAAUUGAGACGGAAUGUGUUAAAACAGGGACACUAUAAACUGGUUAAAGAUGGCUUGUCGGGCUUCCAACUGAAAACUAAUUUCCACACGUCACAACAUUUUAUAACUCAAACAACUUCAUUUUUACUGCACUGAAACUUUGGUGAGA